rnacentral:rRNA from 1 species
GUUAGGAAUAUUGGACAAUGGGCGCAAGCCUGAUCCAGCCAUGCCGCGUGAACGAUGAAGGCCUUCGGGUUGUAAAGUUCUUUAGCCGAUGAUUAUAAUGACUGUAGUCGGAAAAUAAGCCCCGGCUAACUUCGUGCCAGCAGCCGCGGUAAUACGAAGGGGGCGAGCGUUAUUCGGAAUCACUGGGCGUAAAGCGUGCGUAGGCGGUCUCGUAAGUUAGGAGUGAAAGCCCAGGGCUCAACCUUGGAAUUGCUCUUAAUACUGCAAGGCUAGAAUCUCGGAGAGGAUAGCGGAAUUUCCAGUGUAGCAGUGAAAUGCGUAGAUAUUGGAAGGAACACCAGUGGCGUAAGCGGCUAUCUGGACGAGUAUUGACGCUGAGGCACGAAAGCGUGGGGAUCAAACAGGAUCAGAUACCCGGGUAGUCC